rnacentral:RNase_P_RNA from 2 species
CGAGUUGGCCGGGCGACCGCGGAGAAAUUCGAGGAAAGUCCGGACUUCACAGAGCAGGGUGAUUGCUAACGGCAAUCCGGGGCAACCCGCGGGACAGUGCCACAGAAAACAGACCGCCACCUGAGCCGUUUGGGCAGGUGGUAAGGGUGAAAAGGUGCGGUAAGAGCGCACCAGCAUCCCGGGUGACCGGGAUGGCUAGGUAAACCCCACCCGAAGCAAGGCCAAGAAGGCCGCGACCUGGUCGCGGCUGCGCAAGCGUUCGAGGGCUGCUCGCCCGAGCUUGCGGGUAGGCCGCUUGAGGCACCCGGCGACGGUGUGUCCAGAUGGAUGGUCGCCGCCUCACCGGUUACCCGGUGAGGGACAGAAUCCGGCUUACAGGCCAACUCGUUCC